CCUACGGGUGGCAGCAGUGAGGAAUAUUGGUCAAUGGGCGGGAGCCUGAACCAGCCAAGUCGCGUGAGGGAAGAAGGUACUGAGUAUUGUAAACCUCUUUUGCCAGGGGACAAAGGCGGCCACGGGUGGCCGUAAGAGGGUACCUGGAGAAAAAGCAUCGGCUAACUCCGUGCCAGCAGCCGCGGUAAUACGGAGGAUGCGAGCGUUAUCCGGAUUUAUUGGGUGAAAAGGGAGCGUAGGCGGGCGAGAAAGUUGAAUGUUAAAUCUACCGGCUUAACUGGUAGCUGCGUUCAAAACUUCUUGUCUUGAGUGAAGUAGAGGCAGGCGGAAUUCCUAGUGUAGCGGUGAAAUGCGUAGAUAUUAGGAGGAACACCAGUGGCGAAGGCGGCCUGCUGGGCUUUAACUGACGCUGAGGCUCGAAAGCGUGGGGAGCAAACAGGAUUAGAUACCCUAGUAGUC
rnacentral:rRNA from 1 species